rnacentral:rRNA from 1 species
AGUGAACGCUGGCGGUAGGCCUAACACAUGCAAGUCGAACGGCAGCACAGUAAGAGCUUGCUCUUACGGGUUGCGAGUGGCGGACGGGUGACGAAUAUAUCGGAAUCUACUUUUUCGUGGGGGAUAACGUAGGUAAACUUACGCUAAUACCGCAUACGACCUAGGGGUGAAAGCAGGGGAUCUUCUGACCUUGCGGGAUUGAAUGAGCCGAUGGCGGAUUAGCUAGUUGGGGGGGUAGUGGCCCACCAAGGCGAGGAUGGGUAGCCGGUCUGAGAGGGUGACCGGCCACAGUGGGACUGAGAGACGGCCCAGACGCCUACGGGAGGCAGCAGUGGGGAAUAUUGCACAAUGGGCGGAAGCCUGAUGCAGCAACGCCGCGUGCGGGAUGACGGCCUUCGGGUUGUAAACCGCUUUCGCCUGUGACGAAGCGUGAGUGACGGUAAUGGGGAAAGAAGCACCGGCGAACUACGUG